rnacentral:lncRNA from 1 species
AAAAACACAGAAGAACCUAUACAUAAUCAUAUGUAGCCCAUUUUCACUAAAUAGUAUACAUAAUUACAAUUGCAGUAUCAAAUGAAAUUGCAUAAAACAUAUAUGGCAUGUUCGGCACACAGAGAAUUGGAUAGUAAUAGACAUGAAGAAAUAUAAACUAAAAUCAUUUUCAUUAAUUAUAUAGUCCUAUCAUGUACUGCAUAGCAGAUAGGGGCGUAUUUACAUUGGAGCUAGAGAACAAUCUACAAGUGAAGAUGG